rfam:Lupinus angustifolius cultivar Tanjil chromosome LG06, whole genome shotgun sequence.
AGGGUUCAAAUGAUGAUUUUAAAUGCAUAGUUCAGAUGAUUAUCUGUGAUUACUAAUUUGUUAAUAGUCUUUCGCUCCUAUCUGAUGAUCCCU